UACGAAGGGGGCUAGCGUUGCUCGGAAUCACUGGGCGUAAAGGGUGCGUAGGCGGGUCUUUAAGUCAGGGGUGAAAUCCUGGAGCUCAACUCCAGAACUGCCUUUGAUACUGAGGAUCUUGAGUCCGGGAGAGGUGAGUGGAACUGCGAGUGUAGAGGUGAAAUUCGUAGAUAUUCGCAAGAACACCAGUGGCGAAGGCGGCUCACUGGCCCGGUACUGACGCUGAGGCACGAAAGCGUGGGGGAGUAAACAGG
rnacentral:rRNA from 1 species